AUGGGCGGCGGCGGCGGCGGCGCGCCGCACCCAUGUGAGACCCGAGUGGAUGAGCACGUACGCCAGAAAAUGGCCUCGUUGCCAAUCCCCGGUGAUCUCCUAGCGGACAUCUUCCUUCGCCUGCCCACGCCAGCCGACCUCAUCCGUGCCGCUGUCGGCUGCAUCUCCUUCCACAACAUCAUCACCGACCGCUCCUUCCUCUGCCGUUUCCGCAAGCUCCACAACCCGCCCCUCCUCGGAUUGCUCGACAAUCAUCGAGUCUUCCACCCUGCCAACCCGCCUCACCCCUCCGCGCCGGCAGCCAGUGCCGUCGCUGUUGCCGCUGACUUUUCCUUCUCUUUCCUUCCUGGCGCCAGCCACAACUGGGCCAUCCAGGACAUUCGCGAUGGCCGUGUCCUCCUCAACAAAAUCCAUGGGAGGGAUGGUAUCGGUCAGAAGUGGAGAAUAUUCAAGGAUAUGGUGGUGUGCGACCCCCUGCACCGACGGUAUUUCCUGCUCCCGCCAAUCCCCGAGGAUCUAGUAAAUCCAGUGGAGGAGCCACACUUUAUGGAAGAGGUAUAUUAUUUGUACCAGAUCUUCCUUUUGCCUCCCUGUGACAAUGAUGAGGAGGCAACAGCUGUGGAAGAGACGUCAUUUAGAGUGGUUUUGAUGGCAUGGUGUGAAACUACGAUGGUUGCCUUUGUCUUCUCUUCUAGUACUAGACAAUGGCGAGCCAUUCCAUCCCUGGGCUGGGAUACUUUAGUUGCUAACUUGCCACUGAGAGGAUAUUGUCUCUUCGCCGCACGCCAAUACGCGUAUGGCUGUUUCUACUGGAUGUUACAUUUUUGCAAGAAAAUAUUGGUGCUUGACACUCGGAAGAUGGAGUUCUACAUUGCUAACCCCCCACCUGCAAUAUGUUUUUCUUUUCUGGAUAUAGCCAUUGUGGAGGCAGGGGAAGGUAGAGUUGGGAUGUUUGUGCCAGGAAUAGGCAGAAAUGGACUUGAAUUCUAUACAAUGUGGAGAAACAAUGGUGGGACUUACAUGCAGUGGAAGUUGGAGAAGACGAUCUCAGUUCAUUUUUUGCACUACUCUGCGGGUUCAAAUGGGAAACACUUGUUCAUAUAUGAUGUGGAAAGCCCGUCGGUUAGCUAUGGUUGUUUCUCACUAGACAUCAAGACAUUCCAGCUUAAAAGGGUGUGUUCUUCAAAGACAUGGAUCCCUAAUCCGCUUGCAUAUAGCAACUUUCCACCAUCAAUUUUGGCAUCACCAACAAUAGCAAGUGGUACUCAGGAAGGUGAGAAGGAGAUGCUGGAACAAGGCGCGAAAACUCUGCAAGCUGAAGAACAUGUGGACAGCCAGCAUGGUGGGAGCACCAGUGAUGGUGUUGAUGCUGGAGGUCACCCUGGCAUGCCGAGGAUCAGAGAUGGCACUGAUUGA
rnacentral:rRNA from 1 species